GGGUUGAUGAGGGCAAUGUAGUCAACAUCUGUCACUCCGUUGCUUGUCAGGAUUAUUCUAGCCAAUUUCUCUGACUGGGCAGGUGUCCCCUCUCUCCCUCAGUGCUCCAUGUGCAUCCCUCUUGAAGCUUCGCACUCUGUUGAAGAGGACAUUCAUCCCAGGUAGAGAGGGGGCUGGGAAACUGGGCCAAUUGAAUUUGUGUCCUUUCUUUCCAUCAGAUUAAGGCAAUUAAACUGUGACCAUUGAGUUCCUAAGGUCUGUGACUUCUGAAAUUCCUUGCAAAGUUUUGUUUAUGCAAUUUUUGUUUCUA
rnacentral:snRNA from 1 species